CUACGUAGGUGACAAGCGUUAUCCGGAUUUACUGGGCGUAAAGGGCGUGUAGGCGGUCUUGCAAGUCAGAAGUGAAAUUCCUGAGCUCAACUCGGGCGCUGCUUCUGAAACUGCAGGACUUGAGUGCUGGAGGGGAUAGCGGAAUUCCUAGUGGAGCGGUAAAAUGCGCAGAUAUUAGGAGGAACACCGGUGGCGAAGGCGGCUAUUUGGCAGGUAACGGACGAUGAGGCGCGAAAGCGUGGGGAGCAAACAGGUUGAGAUACCCUGGAAGUCCACGCCGUAAACGAUGAAUACUAGGUGUAGGGGGUAUCGACUCCCUCUGUGCCGCAGUUAACACAAUAAGUAUUCCGCCUGGGGAGUACGGCCGCAAGGUUGAAACUCAAAGGUGUUGACGGGG
rnacentral:rRNA from 1 species